CCUCGACACAGAGACGCAGAAAUCACAGCAACACCUAAAACGUGUGUUAUUUUACUGUAUCUAGGCCUAAAUACCGGACUGGCUGAAACUACAAUCAGCACAUAGAGAGGUCCCCACUCCACACAAACACAUUUGGAAAGCGCUGACUAAACCAGUCUUUUUAUUUUAUGUCCUUAUAUCCAUGAGAAGACGUUUGUGUGAUUCCUCUCCUGAUGGGUGGAGCGAGGAGCAGGAAAAGGAGAAAAAAUGAAAGAGGAGAAAAAGAAGUGAUUGGAAUGAGCCCUGACUGACCUGAUGAACUACCUCCCAUGAUGCUAUUCUGGAGGCUUUGAACGGACAGGAUUCGCAGUGAACGGACAGGAUUUGCAGUAAACGGACAAUAUUCGCAGUAAACGGACAAUAUUCGCAGUGAACUGACAGGAUGCCUUUACUGCUUACCUGGUAUUUCUCCAGAUCGAGACACCAUCGUUUCCGUGGAGAUGUCCUGGGUACGGCGAACACUGAGGGGUGGUCUGAAACUAUCCAAUCAGCAGGACAGAUUGGACCGGGAUCUAGAGUGAGUUCAGAGAACACAGAGAGAUGUGCAUUAAUAGUAUACCAUGAACAGAAGCACAUAAGCACUCACUAUUCAUGCUUACUGACAGGUAAAACAACAGCUGCACACUCCAUGUAAAUGCUGACUCAUCAGAAGAGACACGAAACUGGAUCAGGGCUGGUCAAGCACAUACACGGAGUGAACAGGGGAACUAAGGACGCAAUGAUAUGAGAGGUUAUGCUGUGAGGACGAAGUGCAAUAUGGUGUUUGGACAACUCAAAAUAAAUAUAGAGGGUGAGAAAACAGAUGCUGUUGAAUGAUUUGAGCUUAACUUUUUGAGAAGCUUAACUUAUCCUCGUAUAUCAAGUAUAUCCCAAUAUAAUUCAGUGCUGUACAGGGUUAUUAAUUGGCCUUGCCUAAUUAUCAUAUGGUGUCCAGAAGUGAUUUAGAUAAAGGACAUUAUUUUAGGCUGUAAUUAGGAUCUUAACCAGAAACCUUCUGACUAAAAUAACCGAAUGACCCCGCUCUGUCACCUUUGUUGCACUGACCUACACCAGCAUUGCCCCCUUCCUUACCGUACUGGUGGUGAGGCGGUGGUUAUAGCCACAAGGUGAAUUUAUGGUGCAGAUUGGGGGACACUGGGGUUUGGCUGCAGAGCAUUGUG